GACGAACGCUGGCGGCGUGCCUAAUACAUGCAAGUCGAGCGAGCGGAACCAACAGAUUUACUUCGGUAAUGACGUUGGGAAAGCGAGCGGCGGAUGGGUGAGUAACACGUGGGGAACCUGCCCCUAAGUCUGGGAUACCAUUUGGAAACAGGUGCUAAUACCGGAUAAUAAAGCAGAUCGCAUGAUCAGCUUUUGAAAGGCGGCGUAAGCUGUCGCUAAGGGAUGGCCCCGCGGUGCAUUAGCUAGUUGGUAAGGUAACGGCUUACCAAGGCGACGAUACGUAGCCGACCUGAGAGGGUGAUCGGCCACACUGGGACUGAGACACGGCCCAG
rnacentral:rRNA from 1 species